rnacentral:rRNA from 1 species
GCAACCUGGGAAAAAGUUUGGGACAACUACCGGAAAACGGUUCCUAAUACCGAAUAAUUGUUUUCUUCGCCUGAAGGGAACUGAGAAAGACGGAGCAAUCUGUCACUUGGGGAUGGGCCUGCGGCGCAUUAGCUAGUUGGUGAGGUAACGGCUCACCAAGGCGACGAUGCGUAGCCGACCUGAGAGGGUGAUCGGCCACACUGGGACUGAGACACGGCCCAGACUCCUACGGGAGGCAGCAGUAGGGAAUCUUCCGCAAUGGGCGAAAGCCUGACGGAGCAAUGCCGCGUGAGUGAUGAAGGUUUUCGGAUCGUAAAGCUCUGUUGCCAGGGAAGAACGCUUGGGAGAGUAACUGCUCUCAAGGUGACGGUACCUGAGAAGAAAGCCCCGGCUAACUACGUGCCAGCAGCCGCGGUAAUACGUAGGGGGCAAGCGUUGUCCGGAAUUAUUGGGCGUAAAGCGCGCGCAGGCGGUCAUUUAAGUCUGGUGUUUAAUCCCGGGGCUCAACCCCGGAUCGCACUGGAAACUGGGUGACUUGAGUGCAAAAAAGGAGAGUGGAAUUCCACGUGUAGCGGUGAAAUGCGUAGAUAUGUGGAGGAACACCAG